rnacentral:rRNA from 1 species
AGUGAACGCUGGCGGUAGGCCUAACACAUGCAAGUCGAACGGCAGCACAGUAAGAUCUUGCUCUUACGGGUGGCGAGUGGCGGACGGGUGAGGAAUACAUCGGAAUCUACUUUUUCGUGGGGGAUAACGUAGAGAAACUUACGCUAAUACCGCAUACGACCUACGGGUGAAAGCAGGGGAUCUUCGCACCUUGCGCGAUUGAAUGAGCCGAUGUCGGAUUAGCUAGUUGGCGGGGUAAAGGCCCACCAAGGCAACGAUACGUAGCUGGUCUGAGAGGAUGAUCGGCCACACUGGAACUGAGACACGGUCCAGACUCCUACGGGAGGCAGCAGUGGGGAAUAUUGGACAAUGGGCGCAAGCCUGAUCCAGCCAUACCGCGUGGGUGAAGAAGGCCUUCGGGUUGUAAAGCUCUUUUGUUGGGAAAGAAAAGCAGCAGGUUAAUACCCCGCUGUUCUGACGGUACCCAAAGAAUAAGCACCGGCUAACUUCGUG